GGGUGGGGGGGGGUUCUUCUGAGCUUUUCCUGGCAGACCCUGGUUGGUGCCUGGGCCUGGGACUAAGAAGCCAGCUGGCCGCAGGUCUCCUGGCUCCCCCAAUUUUCACAGGCUUGGGGCUUGAAGUUCAUUCUUCUCGAAUGUACUCGAGAGUGGCCACGUUCAUGAGUGUAUUUCCCAAGAAAGGGCAGACAAAUGGUGGAUCCAAGGGCAGCGACAUGCUUCAGGGGGGGAGAUGGGAGGACUGGAGGGAAAGUACCUUCGCGGCCUCUUCAGAUGUAGGUGCAGGUGUGCAUGCCUCUGCCUGUGCAUCCUGGAGUCCCGGCCUCAGCCCCAGCCCUAUGCCUGGGACCCAGCGUUUGCUACUCCCUUGUUCCUUGAGCUGGAGUGAGCCUAGCAUCAUGCUUAACACGCCUCCUUUGGGACACAAGUCUCCAGUCCUUUGGCAUCCGGAGGUACCCAGGAAGGGAGUCCUGAACCUGUGACUCCAAACUCUGCCCACUCACUCCUUUUAUCGUCUUUUCUUACUCCCCAUCCCGAGUUUCAUUUUCAGCCUGUUUACUUCUCUGGCCGGCCCACGGUGCUGCUGAGAGCCGGCUGGAGACAUGUGCUAGCAGAUACAUGAACCGCCCGGGGACCCGUAACCCGCUGCUCUGCCUGGAAGGGACCUGAUGUUGGGCUGUGUCGGACUUGGGGGACCUAAGAUGCCAGGUGGGAGGGAUCAUUGCCACGGAUCGCGCCAGUGUAAUUCCCCUGGGAUGUGCUGUCGUUAUUGCAGGCCCAGUAUUUCUCCCAGUGGUCCGGGUAGCUUUCUGUAAAUCUUGCUUUAUUGCUAAUCCAUAAAAUCGAAAUCUGCCUUCCAUCUCUUAAACAUGUCACUGUAAAUAAAACUACCAGGAAAUACUGAAAUUGUGCUGGUGGUAAUGGACAGCUAAAGUUUUAGGGGCCAUGAGUGAAAACAGAUAAACAUGAAUGCAUGCACGGGAGGAUGGAACGGAACCACGGGGGGCAGUGUGAGCUGGCAGGAGGAAGGCUCCAGGGACGGUGUUAUUUGAGAUCCACAUGGUGUGUAAUUCUAGGAGGAAAAUGGAAAACUGUAAUUGGCAGGUUAGAAAACCCACUUAUAUGAAGAAGUGAGUUUAAUGAACUUCUUAGUGUCAUCAAGACUACCUUUAGGUGCUCAAUUGUCUAGGAAAUUCAUAGU